GCUGGGCGUGAUGGCACACGCCUGUAAUCCCAGCUACUCAGGAGGCCGAGGCAGGUGAAUCGCUUGAACCCAGGAGGUGGGGGUUGCAGUGAGCUGAGAUCGCACCACUGCACUCCAGCCUGGGUGACAGAGUAAGACUCUGUCUCAA
rfam:Homo sapiens chromosome 4, GRCh38 reference primary assembly.